AUGGCGAUAACAACAUAUACCCACUGGCAUUUGACAUUGUUGGACAAGGGGACAAAGCUAAUUGGUGCUGGUUUCUACACCAACUCAAAAUUUGUUUUGGAGGAGAAGUUGGACAGUAUAUGCAUAAAGGAUAAGCAAAUGGUUAGGUCGCACGGGAAUAGAGAGAGUGGAAAGGCGGCUAGAUGGGAGAUCACACCACAUUACAGUGAGAAGUUGGAGAUUGAAAAGGAAAGGGCCAGAAAGUGGGACCUCAGUGGCAUCCCAUGUAACCAUGCCAUCUCAGCAAUUAACAAGGCAAAAAUGUUUCCAAAGGACUUUGUAAGCAAAUUCUUCAAGAAACCAUAUUACUUGGCAGCAUAUGAACCAAUGAUAUAUCAUGUUCAUGGUGAGCAUGAUUGGACAAAGACCCCAGGUCCAGACAUAGUCCCACCUGCAUUUAAAGUGAAGGAAGGAAGAAACAAAGAGAAGAGGAUAAAGUAA
rnacentral:rRNA from 1 species